rnacentral:tRNA from 1 species
GGGUGUUUGGUUGAGUGGUUGAUAACACCUGCCUACUAAGCAGGCAAUCUUUUUAUAAAGGUUCGUAGGUUCAAAUCCUACAACACCCG